AGUGGGGAAUUGUUCGCAAUGGGCGCAAGCCUGACGACGCAACGCCGCGUGGAGGAUGAAGAAUUUCGGUUCGUAAACUCCUUUCGAUCGAGAUGAACAUCCCUCGGCCUAAUACGCCGGAGGACUGACAGUAUCGAGAGAAGAAGCCCCGGCUAACUCUGUGCCAGCAGCCGCGGUAAUACAGAGGGGGCAAGCGUUGUUCGGAAUUACUGGGCGUAAAGGGUUCGUAGGUGGCCGAUUUAGUCAGACGUGAAAUCCCUCAGCUCAACUGGGGAACUGCGUCUGAUACUGAUUGGCUUGAGUGCAGGAGAGGAACGCGGAAUUCCAGGUGUAGCGGUGAAAUGCGUAGAUAUCUGGAGGAACACCGGUGGCGAAGGCGGCGUUCUGGACUGUAACUGACACUGAGGAACGAAAGCCAGGGGAGCAAA
rnacentral:rRNA from 1 species